AUACUCUCUCUUCACAUAUUCUUUUUUUUGUAAUGAAAUAUUGGCUUCUCCAUUUCCUUCCCUCAUACUCUCUCUUCACAUAUUCUUUUUUUUGUAAUGAAAUAUUGGCUUCUCCAUUUCCUUCCCUCAUACUCUCUCUUCACAUAUUCUUUUUUUUUGUAAUGAAAUAUUGGCUUCUCCAUUUCCUUCCCUCAUACUCUCUCUUCACAUAUUCUUUUUUUUUUUAAUGAAAUAUUGGCUUCACCAUUUCCUUCCCUCAUACUCUCUCUUCACAUAUUCUUUUUUUUUUUGUAAUGAAAUAUUGGCUUCUCCAUUUCCUUCCCUCAUACUCUCUCUUCACAUAUUCUUUUUUUUUUUAAUGAAAUAUUGGCUUCACCAUUUCCUUCCCUCAUACUCUCUCUUCACAUAUUCUUUUUUUUUUAUGAAAUAUUGGCUUCACCAUUUCCUUCCCUCAUACUCUCUCUUCACAUAUUCUUUUUUUUUUAAUGAAAUAUUGGCUUCUCCAUUUCCUUCCCUCAUACUCUCUCUUCACAUAUUCAUUCUCACAGGUCCACACCAUCUCAGUGCCCCAUGCUUCACCCACUCCACAAUCCACUUUUUCACUGUCACACCGAUACCAAACUGCUUAUGCAUGCUUUCACUACUUUCUCCAUCUCAUCCGGACACACAUGUUUUGAUGGGGCUACCCUAUGUUAUAUUAUAAUAGUGAUGCAACUUAAGGUAAUGAAUGUUUAUAUUUGCAGGAUUUUGGAAAUAACAGAAAGGGACACAGUAAAGCUGGUUCACGUCAAGAUUGGACACGAUGAUGUUCCCCUGGCACGGAUGGUGGCUUACGAUCAGCUUAAGCCUGUAAAGUUCGGUGCUCUUCACAGGCCCUCAGAAGAGCUGCCAGCAGGCAGUUCUACUGAUACAGACCCUGAACUACACCUCAAUGAGGAAUUAUACCAAAAAAGACAAGGCCUUUCCAUCCCUGUGUCAGUUACUGCCCCUCCUAAGCCAGGGGACACAAGGCAUCCAGACAGGGAGGAAGACGUCAUUCUGAUCGGAACCAGGGCCAAGGCUGAAAGAGAAGCCGUGUGUCUGCCCCCUGUGCCAGCCAGUCGCCAAGAUCCACAAAUGGAGGUAAUGAUUCAGAUUCUUGAAGAGAGAAGGUGGCUCACUGAUGACCACAUGAAUCAUUGCCAGGCCCUCCUCAAACAUCAGUUUCCGAGGUUGAUGGCCUCCAAAGCUGUGCAAUAUUUGAGGUGGUGGAGCAUAUUCGUGUUGGUACCCCUAGGGGGAAGUUUGUUCAAAUUAUCAAUGUCAGUAGUAAUCACUGGAUUACAGUAAGUAACAUUCAAAAUUUUCAAGAAGGUAAAGUAAGAAUCUAUGACUCCAUGUUCACUAAAGUCGGUAUGUCCCACCGCCAAAAAUUCAUUGAACAGCUUGGGUGGAUGCUACACACCUCUAGCGAUGCCAUAACAAUGGAAUGGCGUGAUGUUCAGCGUCAGAGGGGCGGCGAUGCUUGCGGCUUGUAUGCCAUCGCCAAUGCUUAUGCACUCUGUGCAAAUAUCAGACCUGAGGAGUGUGCAUGGGAUCAAGAUAGUUUGUACGACUGGCUGGUUGGAUGCCUUCAAGCCGGAGAACUGUCUCAACCCCCUGUAACAGUACCCCAAAGGAACAAUAAGGGUACUGUUCGCACUGAGGUGGAAACAGUCUUAUGUAAAUGCCGUUUGCCAAACAAUGAGACCCGUCCCAUGAUUGCCUGUGAUAACUGCAACGCGUGGUAUCACUUCAGCUGCGAGGGAGUGUCAGAAGCUAACAGCCAGACAUUCCACUGCAGCAACUGCAGGUACUUUUCAAAUAGCAUUUUCAGUAAAAGAAAAUAAUCUACACAACCUCUUCCUUUCCUAGAAACACCUUGGUGUAGAUUUGCUCUAACCUCUCAAUGUUUCUGUGUGUGAUAAUGCCGCACCGUGGAGCAGUAUUCAAGCAUUGAUCUCACAAGUGUGAUAUACUACUACUAGUUGUAUAAGUGUUUUUUUUUAUACAGUUAUGUUGAUUACACUUAAGGAUCCAAAAGUGUUCAGUUGGCUGUGGCACUGAUGUGUUCUGUGUGAGUGUUGAAUUUUAAGUUAAUGGAGAAUUGAACUCUGAGGUAUUUGUGUGUGUGUACAAUUCACAUGAGCAUUUGGGUUGUAAGGCCAUGUUGUGAGUCAGAAACAAUGUUGUUUGUGUCAAGCAGAUUUCAUUAUGUGUUUGUGUAUUGUGUUCAAAAGUUCCACAUGGAAUCAGUGUUAGUGAAAUGGGGCAAUAAUUGGCUGUGUCAGUCCAGUCACCUGUCUCAAAUAAAGGGUUGAUGUUUGUCAGAAGCCAGUCAAAGUAAUGAUGAGGAUGAUAUAUAUUGGAUCAAGGAGUCCCUGGAGGACGGGGCUAAGGAUUUAAGAAUGAAGGCAAGGAUGUUGUCGGGCCCAGUGAAUUUACUUGUCAAGUCCUUCUGUAAUGCCAGGAUUCCCCCUCUCCUCCCCAUACUGUUAAUGGUAAUGUUGAGGGGGGCUGUUGGAAGAAGGGGCUGUGUGGCAUGGUUGGUGUCUGGUAGUGUUCUUGGGUGCACACUAAUUGGAACGGUGUUGUGGGCUGGUUACUACUGUGAUAUUGUUGUCUUUCUGUGAUAUAAUAGUGUUGGUAGCAUAUUUGCAUGCCCUAAAGAAUUUGAAAAAAUGUUUAUGUUGUUACUUAAAUUGUCUGCGAGGAAGGUUGCUAUGUGUU